rnacentral:rRNA from 1 species
GAUGAACGCUGGCGGCGUGCCUAAUACAUGCAAGUCGAGCGAACAGACGAGGAGCUUGCUCCUCUGACGUUAGCGGCGGACGGGUGAGUAACACGUGGAUAACCUACCUAUAAGACUGGGAUAACUUCGGGAAACCGGAGCUAAUACCGGAUAAUAUAUUGAACCGCAUGGUUCAAUAGUGAAAGACGGUUUUGCUGUCACUUAUAGAUGGAUCCGCGCCGCAUUAGCUAGUUGGUAAGGUAACGGCUUACCAAGGCAACGAUGCGUAGCCGACCUGAGAGGGUGAUCGGCCACACUGGAACUGAGACAAGGUCCAGACUACUACGGGAGGCAGCAGUAGGGAAUCUUCCGCAAUGGGCGAAAGCCUGACGGAGCAACGCCGCGUGAGUGAUGAAGGUCUUCGGAUCGUAAAACUCUGUUAUUAGGGAAGAACAAAUGUGUAAGUAACUAUGCACGUCUUGACGGUACCUAAUCAGAAAGCCACGGCUAACUACGUG